rnacentral:rRNA from 1 species
UACGGUAGGGUGCGAGCGUUAUCCGGAUUCACUGGGUUUAAAGGGUGCGUAGGCGGUUUGUCGCGUCGGGAGUGAAAACCCAGGGCUUAACUCUGGGCUUGCUUUCGAUACGGGGCAGACUAGAGGCAUGCAGGGGAGAACGGAAUUCCUGGUGUAGCGGUGAAAUGCGCAGAUAUCAGGAGGAACACCGGUGGCGAAGGCGGUUCUCUGGGCCGAUACUGACGCUGAGGAGCGAAAGCGUGGGGAGCGAACAGG